AAAUUGAAGAGUUUGAUCAUGGCUCAGAUUGAACGCUGGCGGCAGGCCUAACACAUGCAAGUCGAACGGUAACAGGAAGCAGCUUGCUGCUUUGCUGACGAGUGGCGGACGGGUGAGUAAUGUCUGGGAAACUGCCCGAUGGAGGGGGAUAACUACUGGAAACGGUAGCUAAUACCGCAUAACGUCGCAAGACCAAAGAGGGGGACCUUCGGGCCUCUUGCCAUCGGAUGUGCCCAGAUGGGAUUAGCUAGUAGGUGGGGUAACGGCUCACCUAGGCGACGAUCCCUAGCUGGUCUGAGAGGAUG
rnacentral:rRNA from 1 species